ACUUUCUGGUUGCAAAUGACAGAAAUCGUAACAAACCAAGAUAAAAGAAAAAGAAGGGUGAAGGAAGGGAAGAAGGAAGAAAUUGGCACCUGUAACAACAAAGUUCAGAGAUGGACUUCAGGAAACCUAGUGAAAUGGAAAUGCCUCAUUGUCAUGGCAGCCGGAUCUCUGAAUCAGUGCAUAGAAAACAGGCCCUUUGGAGAGUCAUCCAGACUUGCAACACACUUUGUAUAAAUAAGAAAUAAAC
rnacentral:lncRNA from 1 species